UUGUUGCGAUGGGCUUAACUUACGAGA
rnacentral:sRNA from 1 species